rnacentral:piRNA from 1 species
UAAGAACAUUUUGCUAAUUUGUAAUAUAAU